rnacentral:rRNA from 1 species
GACGAACGCUGGCGGCGUGCUUAACACAUGCAAGUCGAACGCGCCUGUCCUCUGGGUUUCUGGGGGGUGGGUGAGUGGCGAACGGGUGAGUCACACGUGAGUAACCUGCCCCCUUCUUCGGGAUAACGGUCUGAAAGGGCUGCUAAUACCGGGUAUUCACUGGUCUCCGCAUGGGGUCUGGUGGAAAGGUUUUUUUCUGGUGGGGGAUGGGCUCGCGGCCUAUCAGCUUGUUGGUGGGGUGAUGGCCCACCAAGGCUUUGACGGGUAGCCGGCCUGAGAGGGUGACCGGGCACAUUGGGACUGAGAUACGGCCCAGAGUCCUACGGGGGGCAGCAGUGGGGAAUAUUGGACAAUGGGCGCAAGCCUGAUGCAGCGACGCCGCGUGAGGGAUGGAGGCCUUCGGGUUGUGAACCUCUUUCGCCCGUGGUCAAGCCGCGACGUGGGUCGUGGUGAGGGUAGUGGGUAAAGAAGCGCCGGCUAACUACGUG